rnacentral:rRNA from 1 species
GAUGAACGCUGGCGGCGUGCCUAAUACAUGCAAGUCGAGCGAACAGACGAGGAGCUUGCUCCUCUGACGUUAGCGGCGGACGGGUGAGUAACACGUGGAUAACCUACCUAUAAGACUGGGAUAACUUCGGGAAACCGGAGCUAAUACCGUAUAAUAUAUUGAACCGCAUGGUUCAAUAGUGAAAGACGGUUUUGCUGUCACUUAUAGAUGGAUCCGCGCCGCAUUAGCUAGUUGGUAAGGUAACGGCUUACCAAGGCGACGAUGCGUAGCCGACCUGAGAGGGGGAUAGGCCACACUGGAGCGGAGACACGGUCCAGACUCCUACGGGAGGGAGCAGUAGGGAAUCUUCCGCAAUGGGCGAAAGCCUGACGGAGCAACGCCGCGUGAGUGAUGAAGGUCUUCGGAUCGUAAAACUCUGUUAUUAGGGAAGAACAAAUGUGUAAGUAACUAUGCACGUCUUGACGGUACCUAAUCAGAAAGCCACGGCUAACUACGUG